rnacentral:rRNA from 1 species
GGCAACCCUGACGGAGCAAUACCGCGUGCGGGAGGACGGCCUGUGGGUUGUAAACCGCUUUUCUCAGGGAAGAAGACCUGACGGUACCUGAGGAAUCAGCAUCGGCUAACUCCGUGCCAGCAGCCGCGGUAAUACGGAGGAUGCAAGCGUUAUCCGGAAUUAUUGGGCGUAAAGCGUCCGUAGGUGGUUAAUCAAGUCUGCUGUUAAAGACAGUGGCUCAACUACUGAAAGGCAGUAGAUACUGAAGGACUAGAGUGCGGUAGGGGCAGAGGGAAUUCCCGGUGUAGCGGUGAAAUGCGUAGAGAUCGGGAAGAACAUCGGUGGCGAAAGCGCUCUACUGGACGGCAACUGACACUCAGGGACGAAAGCUAGGGGAGCG